rnacentral:rRNA from 1 species
GCCAUGCAUGUCUAAGUAUAAAUCUGGUUCUAGAUGAAACUGCGAAUGGCUCAUUAAAUCAGUUCUAGUUUCUUUGAUGGUAUCUCAACUACAUGGAUAACCGUAGUAACAUAGAGCUAAUACAUGCUUGAAUUCCUGACUGGUUGCUUUCGAGCAUUCGGAAUAGGAUGUAUUUAUUAGAUCCAAAACCAAUGCGCUGCUUGUGUUGCUUCACUGUGGCAUGAGUGGCGGUUAGAUUGGUGAUUCAUGCUAACUUUUCGGAUCGCAUGGCCUUGUGCUGGCGACGCUUCAUACAAGUUUCUGCCCUAUCAACUGUCGAUGGUAGGGUAUUGGCCUACCAUGGUUGUAACGGGUGACGGAGAAUUAGGGUUCGAUUCCGGAGAGGGAGCCUGAGAAACGGCUACCACAUCUAUGGAUGGCAGCAGGCGCGCAAAUUACCCAAUCCCGACCUGGGGAGGUAGUGACAAUAAAUAACAAUGCGGUCCAUAUUUGGUUCUGCAAUUGGAAUGAGAACAAUGUAAAUACCUUAACGAGGAGCAAUUGGAGGGCAAGUCUGGUGCCAGCAGCCGCGGUAAUUCCAGCUCCAAUAGCGUAUAUUAAAGUUGUUGCAGUUAAAAAGCUCGUAGUUGGAUUUCGGAACGGUCGGGUUGGUCCGCCCUUCUGUGGUGUGUACUAGCUUUGGUAUGUAUGGUUGGUCCUUGUGUGGCUAACCUGCUGCCCGUGUUGCACGUGUGUGUAGCAUGUGAUCGUUCUUCUCCCUCGGAGACGAGGUCUGUCCUUCAUUGGAUGGGCUUUGGAUGCGAGGUGUUUACUUUGAAAAAAUUAGAGUGUUCAAAGCAGGCCAUUUCUCGCUUGAAUACAUUAGCAUGGAAUAAUGGAAUAGGACUCUGUGUCUAUUUUGUUGGUUUGAAGGCAGAGAGUAAUGAUUAAUAGGGACAGUUGGGGGCAUUCGUAUUUAAUUGUCAGAGGUGAAAUUCUUGGAUUUCUGAAAGACGAACAACUGCGAAAGCAUUUGCCAAGGAUGUUUUCAUUAAUCAAGAACGAAAGUUAGGGGUUCGAAGACGAUCAGAUACCGUCGUAGUCCUAACCAUAAACAAUGCCGACUAGGGAUCAGCGUACGUUCGUAUGAUUGGACGUCGUUGGCACCUUACGA